rnacentral:misc_RNA from 1 species
UUGCUUUUUGUUUGCUAAAACAGUGUACGAAACGAUGCUUGACCUAUUCUUUGAUAGACAACUCUUGUUCUCAAGUUAACCAUUUAUUUCGAUAAUUUUUAGAUAACUUGCCAUACCAUCUUGCAGUCGAAGACAACAAGCGAAGGAUUAGAAUAUACCACGCCCCCAAAGAAGGAGGAGUCUACUAAAUAUUACAUUUGUCGAUCAAUUGUUAUGCCGAUUUCGUCAAUCAGAACAGUCAAUGGCGACGCGCCGUUAGAACGGCCACAUGAGCGAAUGCGAUUGAAGCGUUGUGCACGUAUCAGUCAUUCAGAGCUACGAUUGCGCUGUGGUAGUGCUUGGAUGCAUUGCAAGGAAAUUCCAUGACAUCGCCAUACUGAUUAUUUUCUCCUCAUCUACGAUACCUAAGGAAGAAACUACUGCUGUAGAACUGUCAAAGCUCAAAAAAAAAAUUCCAAUCAACAAUAUGAUAGAUCAACCUCAGAUUUAUGGUGACACUUGGUUGUUAACCAUGGAAUCCUGAUCAGUCAUCUGCGAGUGGGAAUGUACUUGACAGCAAUUUUUGGCCCAAUAUUCUGGGGCUGAGAAAUACCUUGAGGAAAGUUCUACAUUACAUAUUUGGAACCUCUUAGAAUGGCAAAACCAAUCUAUCAAGCUUUUAACUUCAAAGUUGAAGUACAUAGUAGAAAUGGAACAAGACACUGGAAGGUUUUGGUGUUCGACACUUGUUAAAAAUGAUAUGCCACUAAUGUUUCAACCCUUUGUCAUUGAGGACUUGCCUUAUGCUUAAUACUGCCUUGCGAAGAAAAAGGAUGACGUUUGCUGGCACUGUUUGGUAGCUAAAGGGAUUGUUAAUCAUCUAUUUGAACAGUGUAUAGUGGCGUGUGUUUCAUUCUGCAUCCGGCCUAUCUAUUCCUAAACGGUUGAUGAAUUUAAAAUUUCAUACCUCCGUUGACAAAGUCUUUACCAGCAGCUGUCCAACAAGCGUACUCGAAGCGACAAUAAGCAAAUGAUGGCAAAGAAGAUGUGAAAUUGAUUGUUUAUCAAACAUGAUUGUACAGUGCCAGUCCAUAUAUUUGUUAUACUUUGUUAAGAGUGUUAAGGAAGAUAUUGGUCGUGGCUGAUGUAACCAUUGACAAGGUAUUUCACUACCUUGAAUGAGUGUAUUAGCAAGAAUUUUUUUAUGCAUGUUUCCGGAUUGAAAACGCGACGUCGGAAGAAGAGCGUCUUUUCUGGAAGAACUGUCCAGUCUUAACCAGUAUCUUGCCUAUUCGCACUGUCGGUAUUCAGGUGCAGGAGGUUGCAGAAAAAUGUGUCGGGUAUGGCAAACAAAGCAGAGGGAAAUCUGCCACAUUUUUCUGCAAUGUACUGUACAACAGAUUUGAAAUUUAGUCGUUUUCGUAAUAAUGCCGUGUUCGUAAUCAGCUUUUAUUCAAGGGAGACGAUAGGGGUCACCGCAUCUAUGCCAAUGUUUGUUUUUUUUUCUCUUGUCUAGAUCUUUUAAUGGGUAGUGGUAUGUUCUUGAUGCUCGUCUUAUCGAAAUAUUUAUUUAAUUUUGUUAUUUUUUACGAUUGUGUCAUUUAUGACAAAGGGUCUUUGUAAUCAUGGCCAAUGGCCUGAGCUGGAUACCGACGACUAUGCCGCCCUUCGCCUUCUCCAGAAAGAAAAUGCGAUAGUUGCCAUAUCUACUGGAAGUCAACACCAAACUCUGAAGGUGGUUGUUAGAAAUCGGUAACACGUGGGAGUUGCAGACGAAGUACCUUUUUCCUCGUUGAACAAUAGAACACUCAAAGAGCUCCAUGUGUUUCUCAAUUUGGAUCAUCCUAUUAAUCAUAUGUCCUUCCGCCACGCUAUCCCGUGAUGAGAAAUUCUUACGACAUGAUGCACUCCAACAACGCGAUGAACCCGUGGUCGUAAUUUGGCAUGAAGAAAGAAUAGGGGAGAUGGCUAAGAUAAAACGAAAUCAAAACAAGGUAACACAACCACUUUGAAUUCAAAUUACUCGUCAAAUAUAACUCGAAUCAAAUGAA